GACGAACGCUGGCGGCGUGCUUAACACAUGCAAGUCGAACGAAGUGGCGAACGGGUGAGUAACGCGUAAUCAACCUGCCCUUCAGAGGGGGACAACAGUUGGAAACGACUGCUAAUACCGCAUACUGAAGGAGGUGAUUGCGUCUGAUUAGCUAGUUGGAGGGGAUAUGGCCUCCCUAGGCGACGGUACAUAGCCGGCCUGGGCGGGUGAUCUGACCAACGGGGACUGGUACCCGGCCCAGGCUCCUCCGGUGGGCAGCAGUAGGGAAUCUUCGGCAAUGGGCGAAAGUCUGAAGGGGCAACGGCGCGGGAGUUAUGACGGCCUUCGGGUUGUAAAGCUCUGUUAAUCGGGACGCGGUACCGGAAUAGAAAGCCACGGCUAACUACGUGCCAGCAGCCGCGGUAAUAC
rnacentral:rRNA from 1 species